CGCCGCCGAGAGGGUGGACGGCCACAUUGGGACUGAGACACGGCCCAAACUCCUACGGAAGGCAGCAG
rnacentral:rRNA from 1 species